rnacentral:rRNA from 1 species
UAGUGGCAGACGGGUGAGUAACACGUGGGUAACCUACCUUCAAGCUGGGGAUAACAGUUGGAAACGACUGAUAAUACCGAAUAAGAUAUAGCAAUAUAUUGAAAGGAGCCUUUAAAGCUCCACUUAAAGAUGGGCCUGCGGCGUAUUAACUAGUUGGUGAGGUAAUGGCUCACCAAGGUGACGAUGCGUAGCCGAACUGAGAGGUUGAUCGGCCACACUGGGACUGAGACACGGCCCAGACUCCUACGGGAGACAGCAGUUAGGAAUAUUCGUCAAUGGGGGAAACCCUGAACGAGCAAUGCCGCGUGAGUGAUGAAGGCCCUAUGGGUUGUAAAACUCUGUUGUAUGGGAAGAACGGCUAUAUUAGGAAAUGAAUAUAGAGUGACGGUACCAUACCAGAAAGCUCCGGCUAACUACGUGCCAGCAGCCGCGGUAAUACGUAGGGAGCGAGCGUUAUCCGGAUUUAUUGGGCGUAAAGCGUGCGUAGGCGGUUUAUUAAGUUUAAGAUAAAAGCCCGGGGCUCAACUCCGGUUCGUCUUAAAAACUGGUAGACUUGAGUGUGGUAGAGGUAAAUGGAAUUUCUAGUGUAGCGGUGAAAUGCGUAGAUAUUAGAAGGAACACCAGUGGCGAAGGCGAUUUACUGGGCCAUAACUGACGCUGAGGCACGAAAGCGUGGGGAGCAAAUAGGAUUAGAUACCCUAGUAGUCCACGCCGUAAACGAUGAGUACUAAGUGUUGGAAAUUCCAGUGCUGAAGCUAACGUAUUAAGUACUCCGCCUGAGUAGUACGGUCGCAAGGCUGAAACUCAAAGGAAUUGACGGGCACCCGCACAAGCGGUGGAGCAUGCUGUUUAAUUCGAAGAUACGCGAAGAACCUUACCUAGACUUGACAUCCCCGGCAAAGACAUGGAAACAUGUUGGAGGUUACCCGGGAGACAGGUGGUGCAUGGUUGUCGUCAGCUCGUGUCGUGAGAUGUUCGGUUAAGUCCGCUAACGAGCGCAACCCUUAUCCUUAGUUGCUAACAGUAAGAUGAGAACCCUAAGGAGACUGCCGGUGAUAAGCCGGGGGAAGGUGGGGAUGACGUCAAAUCAUCAUGCCCCUUACGUCUAGGGCUACAGGCGUGCUAUAAUGGCCAAUAUAAAGAGAAGCAAUACCGUGAGGUGGAGCAAAACUCCAAAGUUGGUCUCAGUUCGGAUUGAAGUCUGCAACUCGACUUCAUGAAGUUAGAAUCGCUAGUAAUCCUGAAUCAGAAUGUCAGGGUGAAUACGUUCCCGGGUGUUGCACACACCGCCCGUCA